AACGAACGCUGAUGGCGUGCCUCAUACAUGCAAGUCGAGCGGAAUCUUCGGAUUUAGCGGCGAACGGGUGAGUAACACGUAAACAAUUUUCCCUUGAGUUGGGGAUAACCAUCCUAACGGGUGGCUAAUACCGAAUAGUGUUUUUGAUCGCAUGAUCAGAUAACAAAAGGUGUGCAAAUGUCGCUCAAGGAUAAGUUUGCGUCCCAUUAGUUUGUUGGCGGGGUAAAGGCCCACCAAGACUACGAUGGGUAGCCGGCCUGAGAGGGUGAACGGCCACAUUGGGACUGAGAUACGGCCCAG
rnacentral:rRNA from 1 species